rnacentral:rRNA from 1 species
GUGCCAGCAGCCGCGGUAAUACGUAGGUGGCAAGCGUUAUCCGGAAUUAUUGGGCGUAAAGCGCGCGUAGGCGGUUUUUUAAGUCUGAUGUGAAAGCCCACGGCUCAACCGUGGAGGGUCAUUGGAAACUGGAAAACUUGAGUGCAGAAGAGGAAAGUGGAAUUCCAUGUGUAGCGGUGAAAUGCGCAGAGAUAUGGAGGAACACCAGUGGCGAAGGCGACUUUCUGGUCCGUAACUGACGCUGAUGUGCGAAAGCGUGGGGAUCAAACAGGAU